GGGGAAUUAGCUCAGUGGUAGAGCGCUUGCUUAGCAAGCCUGAGUGCAUGAGGUCAUGGGUUCAAUUCCCAUAUUCUCCAU
rnacentral:tRNA from 1 species